rnacentral:misc_RNA from 1 species
AACCAUAGAAACCUGCGGAGUACCUGCGGAGGGAUCAUUAUAGUAUAUGGAAUCUCCAUUCUAUAAACCCACUCUGCGUAUCUUGUAACUGUUGCUUCCAUGGGACUUGGUUCCGCCACACCGGCUUCACGGCUGGUGAGCGCCCAUGGAAGGAGAAACAAAACUCUUCUUUGAGAUGUAGUCAGUCUGAACAAGUUUUUAUAAACGUUAAAACUUUUAACAAUGGAUCUCAGAUCGGAA